rnacentral:rRNA from 1 species
UACGUAGGGUGCGAGCGUUGUCCGGAAUUACUGGGCGUGAAAGAGCUCGUAGGUGGUUUGUCGCGUUGUUCGUGAAAACUCACGCUUAACUGUGGGCGUGCGGGCGGAUACGGGCAGACUUGAGUACUGCAGGGGAGACUGGGAAUUCCUGGUGUAGCGGUGGAAUGCGCAGAUAUCAGGAGGAACACCGGUGGCGAAGGCGGGGUCUCUGGGCAGUAACUGACGCUGGAGGUGCGAAAGCGUGGGGGAGCAAACAGG